rnacentral:rRNA from 1 species
GAUGAACGCUGGCGGCGUGCCUAAUACAUGCAAGUCGAGCGAAUGGAUUAAGAGCUUGCUCUUAUGAGGUUAGCGGCGGACGGGUGAGUAACACGUGGGUAACCUGCCCAUAAGACUGGGAUAACUCCGGGAAACCGGGGCUAAUACCGGAUAACAUUUUGAACCGCAUGGUUCGAAAUUGAAAGGCGGCUUCGGCUGUCACUUAUGGAUGGACCCGCGUCGCAUUAGCUAGUUGGUGAGGUAACGGCUCACCCAGGCAACGAUGCGUAGCCGACCUGGGAGGUUGAGUGGCGAGACUGGGAGUGAGAACCGGCCCAGACUCCAACGGGAGGCAGCAGUAGGGAGUCUACCACAAUGGACGAAAGUCUGACGGGGCAACGCCGCGUGAGUGAUAAAGGCUUUCGGGUCGUAAAACUCUGUUGUUAGGGAAGAACAAGUGCUAGUUGAAUAAGCUGGCACCUUGACGGUACCUAACCAGAAAGCCACGGCUAACUACGUGCCAGCAGCCGCAGUAA